CAUAAACCUUUCAUUGCUCUCUUUUUGAAAGCUCUUACAUUCUCAACAUUAAGAAAUGAAAAUCUAUGCUUUAGUUUUAUUGUUUUACUACUUUCUAAAACACUAAAUCAAACAAUUUAUACCGAAUUAUUCUUUGGUUCACUCCCAAGGGUGAACCCGUAAGUUCACCAACCAAAGAUCACCAAGCAAUAAUAUUUUGUUAUUUUAUAUUCAGUAAAAUAACAAAAUAAUAAGAAUUUGCUAAGUUAUAUUAUAUUUUUAAAUAAAAAGGUAAAAAAUAAAUAAAAAUAAAAGUAAUUGCAGCAAAAAAGGAAUUUUUCAAAAAUAUGUUUAAUGCUGUCAUUAAAAUACUAAACCUUAAAUCCUAAAAACUGAACCCUAAACCCUUAAAUAAAACCUAAACUCUUCGAUAAAUCCUAAACCCUACAUCGUAAACACUAAAUCUUGAAAACACUAAACCCUUAAUCCUAAACCAUAAAUCCUUGAAUAAAUCUUAAAUCCUAAGCCAUAAAUCUUAAUCAUAAAUCCUAAACCUAAACUCAAAACCUUAUACCAAACACUUGUCCUAAACCUAACUCUUAAACUAUAGACUCA
rnacentral:lncRNA from 1 species